rnacentral:rRNA from 1 species
CGAACGCUGGCGGCGUGCCUAACACAUGCAAGUCGAGCGGAGACAAUAGCAAUGUUGUCUUAGCGGCGGACGGGUGAGUAACGCGUGAGUAACCUGCCUCAUACUGGGGGAUAACACCGGGAAACUGGUGCUAAUACCGCAUAAUACAUUUAAGUGGCAUCACUUGAAUGUCAAAGGAGUAAUCCGGUAAGAGAUGGACUCGCGUCCGAUUAGCUAGUUGGCGGGGUAAUAGCCCACCAAGGCGACGAUCGGUAGCCGAACUGAGAGGUUGAUCGGCCACAUUGGGACUGAGACACGGCCCAGACUCCUACGGGAGGCAGCAGUGGGGAAUAUUGCGCAAUGGGGGAAACCCUGACGCAGCAACGCCGCGUGAAGGAUGAAGGUUUUCGGAUUGUAAACUUCUUUGAUUGGGGACGAAUAAUGACGGUACCCAAAAAAACAAGCCACGGCUAACUACGUGCCAGCAGCCGCGGUAAUACGUAGGUGGCGAGCGUUGUCCGGAAUUACUGGGUGUAAAGGGCGUGUAGGCGGGGACGCAAGUCAGAUGUGAAAUUCCAGGGCUCAACUCUGGAGCUGCAUCUGAAACUGUGUCUCUUGAGUGCUGGAGAGGAAAGCGGAAUUCCUAGUGUAGCGGUGAAAUGCGUAGAUAUUAGGAGGAACACCAGUGGCGAAGGCGGCUUUCUGGACAGUAACUGACGCUGAGGCGCGAAAGCGUGGGGAGCAAACAGGAUUAGAUACCCUGGUAGUCCACGCUGUAAACGAUGGAUACUAGGUGUAGGAGGUAUCGACCCCUCCUGUGCCGCAGUUAACACAAUAAGUAUCCCACCUGGGGAGUACGGCCGGCAGGUUGAAACUC